rnacentral:lncRNA from 1 species
ACACACCAAAGGAAGUUACUAGAAAUUGAAAGGAAAACCAUAGGUCUAAGAACAGUUUUUGUUUAUUGCAGUCUUGUGGGGCACCUCCUGUGAGAUGGGCGAAAUAAGUGGGGUACCAGUCUCCAGAACUACUAUUAAAAAUGAAGGAACAGGACUGAUUGAUUUUAGCUGAUUGAAUCCCGUUUUUGUUGACUACUACAUGGAAAGUUUGUUUUUUGGUGUUGACUCUGACGACAGCUAUUGUGGAUGUCUUCCCCUUGGUCUUUCGAAAAGAGAGUCCCGG